rnacentral:rRNA from 1 species
UACGUAGGGGGCAAGCGUUGUCCGGAAUCAUUGGGCGUAAAGAGCGUGUAGGCGGCCCGAUAAGUCCGCUGUGAAAGUCCAGGGCUCAACCCUGGGAUGCCGGUGGAUACUGUCGGGCUCGAGUCCGGAAGAGGAGUGUGGAAUUCCAGGUGUAGCGGUGAAAUGCGUAGAUAUCUGGAGGAAUACCGGUGGCGAAGGCGGCAUCCUGGACCUUACUGACGCUGAGGCGCGAAAGCUAGGGGAGCAAACGGG